UACGGAGGGUGCAAGCGUUGUCCGGAUUUAUUGGGUUUAAAGGGUGCGUAGGCGGCCCGUUAAGUCAGUGGUGAAAGCCUCCAGCUCAACUGGGGAACUGCGUCUGAGACUGGCGGGCUUGAGUGCAGGAGAGGAACGCGGAAUUCCAGGUGUAGCGGUGAAAUGCGUAGAUAUCUGGAGGAACACCGGUGGCGAAGGCGGCGUUCUGGACUGUUACUGACACUGAGGAACGAAAGCCAGGGGAGCAAACGGG
rnacentral:rRNA from 1 species